CCAUAUGAGAGCUGUGAUAUAUGCCAGCACAGGUAUGACCAAGGUGCACUACUAAAUCCACUACAUUUCAUUUCAAAUUUACCUGCAAAAAUUGUUUGUUCUGUGGCAACAGUUUAACUCCAUAAGAUCAACAUCAUAUGUCUGCUGACCAUGAUGUCUAUGUUUUCGCUCUUUCUUCAUGAUGACAGAAAGUGAUCCUCAGAACAUUCCGAAAUUUCUUUCACAAGUUCACAUUCCUUCCAUGUUCAGUUGGCCAUGUAACAUAUGUUGGUUGGCAUGUUAUUUUCUUCCAAGAGACAAAAAUCUGUACCUCACUUUAGGUGCUCAUCAGGCAACAUCAAAAUCAG